rnacentral:rRNA from 1 species
UACAGAGGGUGCGAGCGUUAAUCGGAAUGACUGGGCGUAAAGGGUGCGUAGGUGGUUUGUUAAGUGAGCUGUGAAAGCCCUGGGCUUAACCUGGGAAUGGCAUCUCAUACUGAUGAGCUAGAGUAGGUGAGAGGAGUGUGGAAUUUCCGGUGUAGCGGUGAAAUGCGUAGAGAUCGGAAAGAACACCAGUGGCGAAGGCGGCACUCUGGCACCAUACUGACACUGAGGCACGAAGGCGUGGGGGGCAAACAGG